AGGACUAACGCUGGCGGCGUGCCUAACACAUGCAAGUCGAACGGGGUAGCAAUACCCAGUGGCAGACGGGUGAGUAACACGUGGUCAACCUACCUCUGUGUGGGGGAUAACUAGCCGAAAGGUUAGCUAAUACCGCAUACGAUCGUUUUGAGGCAUCUCGAGACGAUGAAAGGAGCAAUCCGCACGGAGAGGGGACUGCGUCCCAUUAGUUAGUUGGUGGGGUAACGGCCUACCAAGACUCCGAUGGGUAGCUGGGCUUGAGAGAGCGACCAGCCACACUGGAACUGAGAAACGGUCCAGACUCCUACGGGAGGCAGCAGUGAGGAAUUUUCCGCAAUGGGCGAAAGCCUGACGGAGCGACGCCGCGUGUGGGAUGAAGGCCUUCGGGUCGUAAACCACUGUCGAAGGGGACGAUAAUGACGGUACCCUUGGAGGAAGCCCCGGCUAACUACGUGCCAGCAGCCGC
rnacentral:rRNA from 1 species